rnacentral:lncRNA from 1 species
AUCAAUUCAUUUGAGCACGACCAUGCAUUUCUCAGUCUCACUUAUCGAGGGGCCCAGAAGAUAUCUCUCUCAAAGAGAGGGACAAAUCCUAUCUUGAUUGUUCAUUAUCCUCUACAUAAUUUCUAUCAUGCUCAAUCAUAACCUUUAUGAUUGUCCGAUUAAAGACAAUGUUUGGUUAUGUCAAAACAUAAUAGUCCUUAUGUUGGAAACUAUGACAAUCUUAAGUCAAAGGAUUAAGACAUAACUACUUUGAGAUUCACUUAUGACAAUGACCCAUGUAGUGAUCUCAAUG